rnacentral:rRNA from 1 species
AAACGUAGGAGGCAAGCGUUAUCCGGAUUUAUUGGGCGUAAAGCGCGUGCAGGCUGCUUGGAAAGUUGGAUGUGAAAGCUCCUGGCUUAACUGGGAGAGGUCGUUCAAAACUACCAAGCUAGAGAAUGGGAGAGGGAAGUGGAAUUCCGGGUGUAGUGGUGAAAUGCGUAGAUAUCCGGAGGAACACCAGUGGCGAAAGCGGCUUCCUAGACCAUUUCUGACGCUUAGACGCGAAAGCUAGGGGAGC